rnacentral:rRNA from 1 species
UACGUAGGGGGCAAGCGUUAUCCGGAUUUACUGGGUGUAAAGGGAGCGUAGGUGGCGAUGCAAGUCCGAUGUGAAAGCCCGGGGCUCAACCCCGGGACUGCAUUAGAAACUGUGUUGCUUGAGUGCAGGAGAGGUAAGUGGAAUUCCUAGUGUAGCGGUGAAAUGCGUAGAUAUUAGGAGGAACACCAGUGGCGAAGGCGGCUUACUGGACUGUAACUGACACUGAGGCUCGAAAGCGUGGGGAGCAAACAGG